rnacentral:rRNA from 1 species
UACGGGGGGAGCAAGCGUUGUUCGGAUUUACUGGGCGUAAAGGGCGCGUAGGCGGCCAUCGCAAGUCGACUGUGAAAUCUCCGGGCUUAACUCGGAAAGGUCAGCCGAUACUGCGGGGCUAGAGUGCAGAAGGGGCAACUGGAAUUCUCGGUGUAGCGGUGAAAUGCGUAGAUAUCGAGAGAACACCUGCGGCGAAGGCGGGUUGCUGGGCUGACACUGACGCUGAGGCGCGAAAGCGUGGGGAGCGAACAGG